AGAGAGAGACAUGCGCGCAUAUCAAUAAGCGGAGGAAAAGAAACUAACAAGGAUUCCCUUAGUAACGGCGAGUGAAGCGGGAAGAGCUCAAAUUUGAAAUCUUCAAGGUUUCUACCUUGACGAAUUGUAGUUUAAAGAAGUGUUUUCUGUUGAAGUUUUGGUAAAAGUUCUUUGGAAUAGGACAUCAUAGAGGGUGAGAAUCCCGUAUUUGACCAUUAUUUUCAGCUUUGUGAUACACUUUCAAAGAGUCGGAUUGUUUGGGAAUGCAGUCCAAAAUGGGUGGUAAAUUUCAUCUAAAGCUAAAUAUUGGCGAGAGACCGAUAGCGAACAAGUACCGUGAGGGAAAGAUGAAAAGAACUUUGAAAAGAGAGUUAAACAGUACGUGAAAUUGUCAAAAGGGAAGCGUUUGACACCAGUGUUGUUUUCUCGAAAAUCAAUUAAAAAUGGCUCGAUUUUGUAUUGUUGAGACCUUAAAAGCUCACUGUACAUUUUUCGUGUCUUUUUUAAUGCACUUUUCGUUUAACAAGUCAACAUCAGUUUCUUUUGUUGUAAAAGGGUCAUUGGAAGGUGGCUUUCUUUUCGGAGAAAGUGUUUAUAGCCUUUGGCCUCUGCAAUCGAAGAGACUGAGGUCUGCAGCGUAGACUCUUCGGGGUUAGAUACAUUUGUGCUAAGUUAUAGCUUUUUAUAGACAACUUGUUGACUAUAAUUAGUCUUGUAGCUUACUCGCUUAUGCUAUUUUACCUACGCUUAGGAUGUUGAGUCGUAGAGCACGCAG
rnacentral:rRNA from 1 species